AAUCAACGCUGGCGGCGCGCUUAACACAUGCAAGUCGAACGGGAAAGUGGAGCAAUCCAUGAGUACAGUGGCGUACGGGUGAGUAACACGUGGGUAAUCUGCCUUCUGGUGGGGAUAACUCUGGGAACCGGAGCUAAUACCGCAUAAGCUCGGAAGAGGAAAGCAGGAAACUGCGCCGGAAGAGGAGCCCGCGGCCGAUUAGCUGGCUGGUGAGGUAAUGGCNCACCAGGGCGAAGAUCGGUAGCCGGCCUGAGAGGGCACACGGCCACACUGGCACUGAAACACGGGCCAGACUCCUACGGGAGGCAGCAGUGGGGAAUCUUGCACAAUGGGGGCAACCCUGAUGCAGCGACGCCGCGUGAGCGAUGAAGCCCGUUC
rnacentral:rRNA from 1 species